GACAGAGGAUGCAAGCGUUAUCCGGAAUGAUUGGGCGUAAAGCGUCUGUAGGUGGCUUUUUAAGUCCGCCGUCAAAUCCCAGGGCUCAACCCUGGACAGGCGGUGGAAACUACCAAGCUGGAGUACGGUAGGGGCAGAGGGAAUUUCCGGUGGAGCGGUGGAAAUGCGUAGAGUAUCGGGAAGAACACCAAGCGGCGAAAGGCGACUCUCGUGCCGUGGGC
rnacentral:rRNA from 1 species